rnacentral:rRNA from 1 species
CUACGGAGGAUGCGAGCGUUAUCCGGAUUUAUUAGGUUUAAAGGGUGUGUAGGCGGUAUUUUAAGUCAGUGGUGAAAUCUCGGAGCUUAACUUCGAAACUGCCAUUGAUACUGGAAUACUUGAGUAUAGUUGAGGUAGGCGGAAUAUGUAAUGUAGCGGUGAAAUGCAUAGAUAUUACAUAGAACACCGAUUGCGAAGGCAGCUUACUAAACUAUUACUGACGCUGAUGCACGAAAGCGUGGGGAGCGAACAGGAUUAGAAACCCUAGUAGUCC